AUUGAACGCUGGCGGCAUGCCUUACACAUGCAAGUCGAACGGUAACAGGUCUUCGGAUGCUGACGAGUGGCGAACGGGUGAGUAAUACAUCGGAACGUGCCUAGUAGUGGGGGAUAACUACUCGAAAGAGUGGCUAAUACCGCAUGAGAUCUACGGAUGAAAGCAGGGGAUCGCAAGACCUUGUGCUACUAGAGCGGCCGAUGGCAGAGUAGGUAGUUGGUGGGAUAAAAGCGUACCAAGCCGACGAUCUGUAGGUGGGCUGAGAGGACGAUCAGCCAGACUGGGACUGAGUGACGGCCCAGAAUCAUACGUGAGGGAGCAGUGGGGAAUUUUGGCCAAUGGGCGUAAGGAUGAUCCAGCAAUGCCGCGUGCAGGAGGAAGGCCUUCGGGUUGUGUACGGCUUUUGUACGGAACGAAAAGCCCCGGGUUAAUACUCUGGGUUCAUGACGCUACCGUAAGCAUAAGCACCGGCUAACUACGUGCAAGCCGCCGCCGUAA
rnacentral:rRNA from 1 species